rnacentral:lncRNA from 1 species
AGGACAUGCCUUGCUUGUGGACAGACUUGUUUGGAUCCGUUUUGCCCCAAGGGGCUCCAGUCGUUCAGCUUUGCUCAGGCUCAGAGGAUGGGGCCCGGUGUUUGUCAUUAGGACUACGUACACGCAGUUCUGUGGAUUUUGUACUUUUACGGCUGCUCUUUGAUAAUAUCUCUGGAAUUGGGCUCCACCUGYGCCAAAGAAGUGUGUAGUCUAGUGGUUCCCAUCCUUCC